rnacentral:rRNA from 1 species
UCUCUACGGAAUAACACAGAGAAAUUUGUGCUAAUACCGUAUACGUCCCUUUUGGGAGAAAGAUUUAUCGGAGAUGGAUGAGCCCGCGUUGGAUUAGCUAGUUGGUGAGGUAACGGCCCACCAAGGCGACGAUCCAUAGCUGGUCUGAGAGGAUGAUCAGCCACACUGGGACUGAGACACGGCCCAG